rnacentral:lncRNA from 1 species
CAGAGGUACUUGCGGUUUCCGGUUAAUUAAAAACACACAUUAGUGCGCCUACGCAGUAGAUCAAGUUCUGACUGAGUGAUUGAUGGAGAGGAAUGUUUAUUGUGAGACCUCUGUUAGCAAAAUUAAGAAUUCAGUCCUCCACUCUGAUCAGUCUGAGCCCUGCUGUUCAAACCCAGCUUGCCAUUUUGAUUGUUCACUAUACUUGCUUCGAAACAUGUGCCAAUUUACAGCUGCUGAGAGCUUUCUUAACUCAUUCUUUUCCCUUUUUUCUGAACUUCUGAAGCCACAGACGUCAUCACCAUCUCCAAAAAUAUUGGGACGGGAAACAAGAUAUGCAAGCUCUCAUUUUCAACCCUCUGUAACUACUGAAAAGUCACUGACAAAGCCUGGAUUUAUUAGACCAGUCACUGCAACAUCCAGAUUUAAAGAUGAUGAAGAAUUCCACCCUAAUCCUUUCAUCUAAUCGUUACCAAUACAAGUUUGUCAGCAGUGCGCUCUGUGGUGAAACCCAAGCAGAAGGUAGAGCUGCUUCAGACCGGCAGCCAGCUUGUGGAGAGGGGCUUCCUUCAGAGCGACAAGAAGACUGUAAGACAAGGCUGGCAUCUCUGAUCACGCAGACCAGGAUCUCCACAGAAGAUGUUCCCACCUCCAUGAACCCGCAGGAGACACACAUAUGAUGCUUACAAGAGAGCCUGAUCCGAUUGUAACUGUGACUGCACAUUAAAAAGCCUAUUAAAGGCAGCAUGUCAAGCAUCUUAAAAGCUAUUCAUUCCUCAAUUCAAGGUGCACAAAUAAAUUGUAUUCUAAACGAAUGAAUUGUAAAAUGAUGCAUGCUUGCAAACUCAAAGUCAGGUUUCACCUCAAAAUAAAAAAUAUGAAAUAAUAAUAGAUCCAUACAGAAUGUUUUUAAUUUUUUCUUGCUGAUUUUGCUGUGAAAUGUGACCAUUUGAUAACGGUUUUCAUAUCAAUCACCCAAUAAGUGCCAAAGAAUAGACAUGUAAUUACUUAGUGCACUUUUAUAUUCAAUCAUCCAGUCAAAUAUUAAUUGCUCUGAAAUUGGCCUUAUGGUCUGCAGCACAUUUACACAGUCGCAGUGCCUUUGGUAUGAUAUGGCCUUUUCAGUUCCUUCAAUAAUAAAUAUAUGCCAUGUUCUCUGUACUGAUUGAACUCAGAAAUGCAAAUUCAUAAUAUAACAGUGUCUAUAAUAAUAUUCAUGUCUAGAUUUUGUGAGUUGUGACAUCCAUCUCUUAUAGCUUCUUUCUCCAAGCACUCAACUCUAAAAUACCCUUCCUUGCAAAAACCCC